rnacentral:rRNA from 1 species
UACGGGGGGGGCAAGCGUUGUUCGGAAUUACUGGGCGUAAAGGGCUCGUAGGUGGCCAACUAAGUCAGACGUGAAAUCCCUCGGCUUAACCGGGGAACUGCGUCUGAUACUGGAUGGCUUGAGUUCGGGAGAGGGAUGCGGAAUUCCAGGUGUAGCGGUGAAAUGCGUAGAUAUCUGGAGGAACACCGGUGGCGAAGGCGGCAUCCUGGACCGACACUGACACUGAGGAGCGAAAGCCAGGGGAGCGAAUGGG